GAAAUGCGAUAAGUAAUGUGAAUUGCAGAAUUCAGUGAAUCAUCGAAUCAUUGAACGCACAUUGCGCCCGCCAGUAUUCUGGCGGGCAUGCCUGUUCGAGCGUCAUUUCAACCAUCAAGCCCCCGGCUUGUGUUGGGGACCUGCGGCUGCCCGCAGGCCCUGAAAAACAGUGGCGGGCUCGCUGUCACACCGAGCGUAGUAGCAUACAUUCUCGCUCAGGGCGUGCUGCGGGUUCCGGCCGUUAAACGACCUUCAUAACCCAAGGUUGACCUCGGAUCAGGUAGGAAGACCCGCUGAACUUAAGC
rnacentral:misc_RNA from 1 species